CUCAGGGUCCGAUUGGUUUCCCAGGAGACUCAGGACAGCCAGGGGAGGCAGGACCCAACGUGAGUGUUCCAUUCUUCUCCCCACUGUUCCCCGGUACUGAACAUACCAUCUCUAUUACAGGGGCAAGUUAAGUCUGUCUCUCUCUCUCUCUCUCUCUCUCUCUCUCUCUCUCUCUCUCUCUCUCGGUCUGCUCUCUCUGUCUACAGGGGGAGGAUGGAGGUCCUGGAUCCAAGGGAGAUGGUGGAGAUCCAGGGAAAUCAGGUCCACCAGGAGCAUCAGGGGAACCCGGGCCCUCAGGACCACCGGGACGCAGGGGUCACCUGGGUAAAGAAGGGAAGCAGGGGAAAGCGGGGAUGAAAGGAGGGAAGGGCUCUCCAGGGUUGGAGGGUCUCCUGGGGAAGACAGGACCGGUGGGAGCCCAGGGACAUUCUGGUAAACCAGGUCCAAGUGGUCUCAGAGGGAUCCCUGGCCCAGCGGGGGAACAAGGUUUAAAUGGACCACCAGGCGUAACAGGACCACCAGGACCCAUGGUAAAACAGUCUACACCUUUAUCCAUCCAUCUCUCCAUCCUUCCAUCCCACUCCAUCCGUUGUCCCUUUCUCCAGAGUCUACAGCCUUAUCUCAGUCACUACUAUAGACCCAUACAUCCUAUAUCAGUCUACAGCCCUAUCUCAGUCACUACUAUAGACCCAUACAUCCUGUAUCAGUCUACAGCCCUAUCUCAGUCACUACUAUAGACCCAUACAUCCUAUAUCAGUCUACAGCCCUAUCUCAGUCACUACUAUAGACCCAUACAUCCUGUAUCAGUCUACAGCCCUAUCUCAGUCACUACUAUAGACCCAUACAUCCUGUAUCAGUCUACAGCCCUAUCUCAGUCACUACUAUAGACCCAUACAUCCUGUAUCAGUCUACAGCCCUAUCUCAGUCACUACUAUAGACCCAUACAUCCUGUAUCAGUCUACAGCCCUAUCUCAGUCACUACUAUAGACCCAUACAUCCUGUAUCAGUCUACAGCCCUAUCUCAGUCACUACUAUAGACCCAUACAUCCUGUAUCAGUCUACAGCCCUAUCUCAGUCACUACUAUAGACCCAUACAUCCUGUAUCAG
rnacentral:lncRNA from 13 species